rnacentral:rRNA from 1 species
GGUAAUGCCGGAUGUUCCAGUUGAUCGCAUGGUCUUCUGGGAAAGCUUUCGCGGUAUGGGAUGGGGUCGCGUCCUAUCAGCUUGACGGCGGGGUAACGGCCCACCGUGGCUUCGACGGGUAGCCGGCCUGAGAGGGCGACCGGCCACAUUGGGACUGAGAUACGGCCCAGACUCCUACGGGAGGCAGCAGUGGGGAAUAUUGCACAAUGGGCGCAAGCCUGAUGCAGCGACGCCGCGUGAGGGAUGGAGGCCUUCGGGUUGUAAACCUCUUUUAUCGGGGAGCAAGCGUGAGUGAGUUUACCCGUUGAAUAAGCACCGGCUAACUACGUGCCAGCAGCCGCGGUAAUACGUAGGGUGCAAGCGUUAUCCGGAAUUAUUGGGCGUAAAGGGCUCGUAGGCGGUUCGUCGCGUCCGGUGUGAAAGUCCAUCGCUUAACGGUGGAUCCGCGCCGGGUACGGGCGGGCUUGAGUGCGGUAGGGGAGACUGGAAUUCCCGGUGUAACGGUGGAAUGUGUAGAUAUCGG